UAUCGCGAUGACGACUCGGAAAAUUCAAGCUCAACAGACCGUAUUGCAGGUCUGUCUCUCAAGAGAUUGCCACUUGCAUGUCGAUAAUCCCGCUGAACUGAGCGAUU